rfam:Myotis davidii contig63299, whole genome shotgun sequence.
GAGACACCCCUAUGUAGCAGGACUUGCUUCAGUGGGGCUUUGGUGCUCACUGAGUCUGCCCCUAAAGUGUGUUGCU